CAGUAGCCGCGGUAAUACGGAGGAUCCAAGCGUUAUCCGGAAUCAUUGGGUUUAAAGGGUCCGUAGGCGGUUUAGUAAGUCAGUGGUGAAAGCCCAUCGCUCAACGGUGGAACGGCCAUUGAUACUGCUGAACUUGAAUUAUUAGGAAGUAACUAGAAUAUGUAGUGUAGCGGUGAAAUGCUUAGAGAUUACAUGGAAUACCAAUUGCGAAGGCAGGUUACUACUAAUUGAUUGACGCUGAUGGACGAAAGCGUGGGGAGCGAACAGGAUUAGAUACCCGAGUAGUCCCUGUCUCUUAUAC
rnacentral:rRNA from 1 species